CGCAGGAGUGGAUCCGAAAUUACCGCACAGUCUUGUGGGAGAAACCGGCCUGAGUGGUAAUUGACGCACAGGAGAUGACAGCUGUUCCCAGAGAACCCAGAACUCCGUGAGGCUUCACCUGUGUUGCUUCUCAAACUCCACUGGCUGAAUUGGAUGUGGAGCACAUGAAUGCUGAGGGAUGGCUCAGUGCACAGAAGCGUUUAAUAAAUAUUGCUCCAGAAAGGAUUGCUUCUCUGAACACAUGACAGUGAUGGACUUCUCGGAAGGCUUCUUUAUGAAGGUUUGCAUGGACACUACUAACAGAGACAAAUGAAGGACGAGGAAACACGGCUGUUAGCUGCACUUCUUCUGAAGGCUGAUGGAUAAUGUCUCCACGUGUUUGGGAUGGUCAAGGACAGAAAACAGUGUCACAGGAUGGAGAGACUCUCACAUCAUCGGGGAGUGCAGCUGAUAAUGGAAGCCAUUUUCUGCUAGUUGUAUUAUGUAUCUUUGAGGUACCUCUGACAUAGAUGUCUAGAGUGUUCUUCCUCUGACCCUCUCACACAGCCAACUCCUCAUUGGUAUGGUUUUACCCCAAGACCCGGCUCCUGUAGGCCAUCAUGCUCUGUUUAUGCUCAAGAAUGUGUUAGAAACAGGCACCACAGGUAAUGGCAUAGCUUUCCUCUUCCUUUGAGGGAGGAUGGCUUACUUUAUUCCAGAUAGCUCAUAUUACACUUAAAUGUUUCCACUCAAGUCGUCAAAGGCCAAAUUCUCCUCUUUUUUCAGAAUAAGCUAUGUAGACCAGCCUUGAUCUCAAAGAGAUUUGCCUGACUCUGCCUCUAGAGUACUGGGAUUAAAUGUGCAAGUCACCACAGUGGGCUCCCUUUUCCAGAUUCUAAAGGUAGAAAUCUCUGUCUCAUCAACCAGAUGGAUAGGUCAUCCCCUUUCCCAGGGUCCCACACCCAGUCUGAGCUGUUCCUCUAAGCUUCAGUCAGCCCCAUUUAUUGAGAAUGAAGUGAGAGAGGAAAGUCUCAUAAUGAAUUCUAAGCUGGCUCAUUUAUUUUUUGCUUUGCACUUUUGAAAACUAGUAUUGCCCGGCAGUGGUGGCACAUGCCUUUAAUCCCAGCACUCGGGAGGCAGAGCCAGGUGGAUCUCUGUGAGUUCAAGGCCAGCCUGGGCUACAGAGCAAGAUCCAGGACAGUCACCAAAACUACACAGAGAAACCCUGUCUUGAAAAACCAAAACAACAACAACAACUAUUAUUUAUUUUCCUGGCUGUAGAAGUGCUAAUUCUGAUGCUAAAAUUUCAGGAAAAACAUAUUUAAAGA